AGAGUUGAUCAGUGGCUCAGGACGAACGCUGGCGGCGUGCUUCAUACAUGCAAGUCGAACGAGAAUCUGGAGCUUGCUUCAGAGGAAAGUGGCGGACGGGUGAGUAAUAUGUAGAGAAUCUGCCCUUGAGCGGGGGACAACAGAGGGAAACUUCUGCUAAUACCCCAUAUGAGCUUAGUUGAAAUACUAAUCUUGAAAACUCCGGUGCUCAAGGAUGAGUCUGCAUCUGAUCAGCUUGUUGGCGGUGUAAUGGACCACCAAGGCGACGAUCAGUAGCUGGUUUGAGAGGAUGAUCAGCCACAAUGGGACUGAGACACGGCCCAUACUCCUACGGGAGGCAGCAGUAGGGAAUUUUGCGCAAUGGGCGAAAGCCCUGACGCAGCAACGCCGCGUGAACGAUUAAGCCCUUCGGGGUGUAAAGUUCUGUCAGUAGGGACGAAUUUUGACGGUACCUACAGAGGAAGCACCGGCUAACUCCGUGCCAGCAGCGGC
rnacentral:rRNA from 1 species